GAUUAAGUUAUUAAGGGCGCACGGUGGAUGCCUUGGCACUAGAAGCCGAUGAAGGACGUUACUAACGACGAUAUGCUUUGGGGAGCUGUAAGUAAGCUUUGAUCCAGAGAUUUCCGAAUGGGGAAACCCAGCAUGAGUUAUGUCAUGUUAUCGAUAUGUGAAUACAUAGCAUAUCAGAAGGCACACCCGGAGAACUGAAACAUCUUAGUACCCGGAGGAAGAGAAAGAAAAUUCGAUUCCCUUAGUAGCGGCGAGCGAAACGGGAAGAGCCCAAACCAACAAGCUUGCUUGUUGGGGUUGUAGGACACUCUAUACGGAGUUACAAAGGACGACAUUAGACGAAUCAUCUGGAAAGAUGAAUCAAAGAAGGUAAUAAUCCUGUAGUCGAAAAUGUUGUCUCUCUUGAGUGGAUCCUGAGUACGACGGAGCACGUGAAAUUCCGUCGGAAUCUGGGAGGACCAUCUCCUAAGGCUAAAUACUCUCUAGUGACCGAUAGUGAACCAGUACCGUGAGGGAAAGGUGAAAAGCACCCCGGAAGGGGAGUGAAAUAGAACCUGAAACCGUGUGCUUACAAGUAGUCAGAGCCCGUUAAUGGGUGAUGGCGUGCCUUUUGUAGAAUGAACCGGCGAGUUACGAUUUGAUGCAAGGUUAAGCAGUAAAUGUGGAGCCGUAGCGAAAGCGAGUCUGAAUAGGGCGUUUAGUAUUUGGUCGUAGACCCGAAACCAGGUGAUCUACCCUUGGUCAGGUUGAAGUUCAGGUAACACUGAAUGGAGGACCGAACCGACUUACGUUGAAAAGUGAGCGGAUGAACUGAGGGUAGCGGAGAAAUUCCAAUCGAACCUGGAGAUAGCUGGUUCUCUCCGAAAUAGCUUUAGGGUUAGCCUCAAGUGAUGAUUAUUGGAGGUAGAGCACUGUUUGGACGAGGGGCCCCUCUCGGGUUACCGAAUUCAGACAAACUCCGAAUGCCAAUUAAUUUAACUUGGGAGUCAGAACAUGGGUGAUAAGGUCCGUGUUCGAAAGGGAAACAGCCCAGACCACCAGCUAAGGUCCCAAAAUAUAUGUUAAGUGGAAAAGGAUGUGGCGUUGCCCAGACAACUAGGAUGUUGGCUUAGAAGCAGCCAUCAUUUAAAGAGUGCGUAAUAGCUCACUAGUCGAGUGACACUGCGCCGAAAAUGUACCGGGGCUAAACAUAUUACCGAAGCUGUGGAUUGUCCUUUGGACAAUGGUAGGAGAGCGUUCUAAGGGCGUUGAAGCAUGAUCGUAAGGACAUGUGGAGCGCUUAGAAGUGAGAAUGCCGGUGUGAGUAGCGAAAGACGGGUGAGAAUCCCGUCCACCGAUUGACUAAGGUUUCCAGAGGAAGGCUCGUCCGCUCUGGGUUAGUCGGGUCCUAAGCUGAGGCCGACAGGCGUAGGCGAUGGAUAACAGGUUGAUAUUCCUGUACCACCUAUAAUCGUUUUAAUCGAUGGGGGACGCAGUAGGAUAGGCGAAGCGUGCGAUUGGAUUGCACGUCUAAGCAGUAAGGCUGAGUAUUAGGCAAAUCCGGUACUCAUUAAGGCUGAGCUGUGAUGGGGAGAAGACAUUGUGUCUUCGAGUCGUUGAUUUCACACUGCCGAGAAAAGCCUCUAGAUAGAAAAUAGGUGCCCGUACCGCAAACCGACACAGGUAGUCAAGAUGAGAAUUCUAAGGUGAGCGAGCGAACUCUCGUUAAGGAACUCGGCAAAAUGACCCCGUAACUUCGGGAGAAGGGGUGCUCUUUAGGGUUAACGCCCAGAAGAGCCGCAGUGAAUAGGCCCAAGCGACUGUUUAUCAAAAACACAGGUCUCUGCUAAACCGUAAGGUGAUGUAUAGGGGCUGACGCCUGCCCGGUGCUGGAAGGUUAAGAGGAGUGGUUAGCUUCUGCGAAGCUACGAAUCGAAGCCCCAGUAAACGGCGGCCGUAACUAUAACGGUCCUAAGGUAGCGAAAUUCCUUGUCGGGUAAGUUCCGACCCGCACGAAAGGCGUAACGAUUUGGGCACUGUCUCAACGAGAGACUCGGUGAAAUCAUAGUACCUGUGAAGAUGCAGGUUACCCGCGACAGGACGGAAAGACCCCGUGGAGCUUUACUGUAGCCUGAUAUUGAAAUUCGGCACAGCUUGUACAGGAUAGGUAGGAGCCUUUGAAACGUGAGCGCUAGCUUACGUGGAGGCGCUGGUGGGAUACUACCCUAGCUGUGUUGGCUUUCUAACCCGCACCACUUAUCGUGGUGGGAGACAGUGUCAGGCGGGCAGUUUGACUGGGGCGGUCGCCUCCUAAAAGGUAACGGAGGCGCUCAAAGGUUCCCUCAGAAUGGUUGGAAAUCAUUCAUAGAGUGUAAAGGCAUAAGGGAGCUUGACUGCGAGACCUACAAGUCGAGCAGGGUCGAAAGACGGACUUAGUGAUCCGGUGGUUCCGCAUGGAAGGGCCAUCGCUCAACGGAUAAAAGCUACCCCGGGGAUAACAGGCUUAUCUCCCCCAAGAGUUCACAUCGACGGGGAGGUUUGGCACCUCGAUGUCGGCUCAUCGCAUCCUGGGGCUGUAGUCGGUCCCAAGGGUUGGGCUGUUCGCCCAUUAAAGCGGUACGCGAGCUGGGUUCAGAACGUCGUGAGACAGUUCGGUCCCUAUCCGUCGUGGGCGUAGGAAAUUUGAGAGGAGCUGUCCUUAGUACGAGAGGACCGGGAUGGACAUACCUCUGGUGUACCAGUUGUCGUGCCAACGGCAUAGCUGGGUAGCUAUGUGUGGACGGGAUAAGUGCUGAAAGCAUCUAAGCAUGAAGCCCCCCUCAAGAUGAGAUUUCCCAACUUCGGUUAUAAGAUCCCUCAAAGAUGAUGAGGUUAAUAGGUUCGAGGUGGAAGCAUGGUGACAUGUGGAGCUGACGAAUACUAAUCGAUCGAAGACUUAAUCAA
rnacentral:rRNA from 1 species